rnacentral:lncRNA from 1 species
UUUCCCCAUGUUUACUUUUUGGUGAAAAGGAAGAGGGUAGCUGACUCAUGUUUGUUCUUGCCGGGUGCUACGAAUGUGGAAGAACUACUACUCCGAGGUCUUCAGAUAUUGUUAGAUCUAAAUCUGAACCUGGGGUGAGUCUUCUUGUUCUUUGUUUUCUCUUCCUUGAUGUUGAGUCCAUUAGCAAAAAGGUUAUUUAGCUACUGGAUGGUUAUUUUGUUUCAUGGAGGGUUAUGGGAAGGAAAGGAGAUGGAGGAGAUAGAUGGCUAUGGACUACCAGGAACCUGGACCCAACACCUAUUCCAGGAGUGGAUAGGUGUGCAUUUACUUCAAAACAGGAUCAGUAUAUAUAAGCAUCUGAGAAAUUUGAUACUUGAGAAAUCAUUAUGUGGAAUUGGUCAAGAACAAUAAGAAGAUGAGCUAUGCAUCACAAUCAUUCAUCCACGUUUUACUAUUGCAUUUAUCACUCAAUCCAGC